UGAGUUUUGCAAAGAAGUCCUACAUGAAAAAUAAAAUAAUCUGCGUUCUUUGUGUCGUACUAGGUGCCGAGAGAGAGAGUUAGUGUCAAGAGGUGCUGGGGCGGGAAAAUGUUAUUUUGGUCAUUUUCCAUGUCUCCGGUGCUCUCUUCACUCACUCUCACAAAAU
ensembl:snoRNA F55H12.9 ncRNA